rnacentral:lncRNA from 1 species
GGAACGAUUUCCUUAAUUCCCUCACUGUUGUUGAAAUAUUAAACUGUUUUAACAAAGAUUUCUAUUGUUAUCAAACUAUCAUAUAUAAAGUUCUUUUGUUGCCUAACAAGUUUUUAAAUUCUUGUAUCUUCUCCAAUAGAUUAAUGGCUAUAACUUUGGUUUACGUUACAGCUGGUACCGCCCCGAUCGUUCUUUUUUUUUUUUUCCAACUCAAAAUCCGAUGUCUUAAUUACAAAGCCGUUAUCUCUUCCGACUCUCAAUUGAUUACCCUUUUGUCGUCUAGAUAACAGUAAUGGCUGCCAAGUGAAGAGCUGAUUGUAACACGUUGUGUUUAACUUAUUUCUAAACGGUCGAUAACCGGGAUCGGUUAAGUUAUUCGAAAGGCUUUUGUGUGCUUCCGUUCCCGACUUAUCCUACCAUAAACUCUUAUCAUCUGCCCGUUUACGUCCGUGUAUCGGGACGGUGCUCGAAGAGGGAUGGAGAUAGGGCUGUAGGGUGGAAUGUCACAGGAGGUGGUUACUAUAGCAGCGGCUAACGAUCUUAUUAGUCGUCAUAACAACCGGCUAUAUAAACACUCGCUCUGUUAUAAUUACUGCCGUAUUUUCUAUUUACUAUAUAUAACUCUAUAUUACGUAAGUAUGCAACGUAAAUCUGUUCACCAGACCGUAUUUAUAAAGUUGACAUGUCAAUCUGCUGCGCGCGUAAAGGUAUACCCGACCGAUAUCCACUAACCGUGUCCAGGAAUAAUUUAAUAUGAACAAAAACAUUAUCAGUAAAACUUGUUAAAACUUUAAAAAAGAUAAUUAUCCUUGCUAGCCGUUUGUGUAAGUCGUGGCAACAGAAAUUUAUUUAUUUUUUUUAUCGUUAGAUAAUUACCUUACAGUUAAAACCUGGC